UAGGGAAUCUUCCACAAUGGACGCAAGUCUGAUGGAGCAACGCCGCGUGAGUGAAGAAGGUCUUCGGAUCGUAAAACUCUGUUGUUAGAGAAGAACACGAGUGAGAGUAACUGUUCAUUCGAUGACGGUAUCUAACCAGCAAGUCACGGCUAACUACGUGCCAGCAGCCGCGGUAAUACGUAGGUGGCAAGCGUUGUCCGGAUUUAUUGGGCGUAAAGGGAACGCAGGCGGUCUUUUAAGUCUGAUGUGAAAGCCUUCGGCUUAACCGGAGUAGUGCAUUGGAAACUGGAAGACUUGAGUGCAGAAGAGGAGAGUGGAACUCCAUGUGUAGCGGUGAAAUGCGUAGAUAUAUGGAAGAACACCAGUGGCGAAAGCGGCUCUCUGGUCUGUAACUGACGCUGAGGUUCGAAAGCGUGGGUAGCAAACAGGAUUAGAUACCCUGGUAGUCCAUGCCGUAAACGAUGAGUGCUAGGUGUUGGAGGGUUUCCGCCCUUCAGUGCCGGAGCUAACGCAUUAAGCACUCCGCCUGGGGAGUACGACCGCAAGGUUG
rnacentral:rRNA from 1 species